UCUAGCAUGUGCGCGAGUCAUUGGGACUUUUUUUCAGGAAAGCCCAGAGGCGCAAUGAAAGUGAAGAUCGGCCUUUUCGGCUUGAUCGAGGGAGGAUGGCUCAUUGUUAUUUUUUUAUAACGACGGGCUCGCACUCCCGGGGCGUCUCGCGCUCAUUUCGAGCGGAGGCGCACCCAGAGCGUACACGCUGGGACCCGAAAGAUGGUGAACUAUGCCUGGUCAGGACGAAGUCAGGGGAAACCCUGAUGGAGGUCCGUAGCGAUUCUGACGUGCAAAUCGAUCGUCGGAACUGGGUAUAGGGGCGAAAGACUAAUCGAACCAUC
rnacentral:rRNA from 1 species